AAAAGAAGCACAACUUGGUUACCAUAAAUUUAUGUUACUACAGCUAUGACACAGUGGUAGCAUGGGAGCAUCCAGCCAAAACUGGGGCUCUGUAUUGUCUGAGGCAAACGCUACCAUGUGGAGCAUUAAUAAAAAAGAUAGCCAGAGGAGGUAUGUUACUGCACGCAACGCUCUCCAUUUUAAAGCUGGAGAAGAGAGGCCCGGAGAGACGAAGUCAUCUCAGGUUAUCCAGGAAUCCUGUGGCAGAACGAGUGGAGGAGUCAAUCUGCUGUGCCUGGUCCAGUGCUGGACUGCAGAGUGCAGGUAAAGGGGUUGCUACAGCACCUAGGGCCAACCCCUUACCCUAGCCCUGGCUCCUUUGCCUCCUCUCCUGCAGCCUCACUCAAUGACAUGGGCCAGGGUGAGCUCAGCAGGCUGAGGCUGGAGGGCUGCGGGGAGCUUUGGCACCGUGAACGGGGCAGCAUCUGCCCACCAAGCCAUUUGCCGAGUCAACACCUCAUUUUGACAAAUUCCCUGCAAAGAAAGAGAAUUUGGAGCUGUGCCAUGGUCCUGCUGUGCCAUCUCGGAGCUCAUCCUCCAAAAGCUUUUAUUAAGGUAUAACGGCUUUCUUUUACUGUUGAAAUCCCGUGUAAAUAUUGAAUGAUCUGCCUGGUACCAGCACCGAUCGGUUCCUUGUGUCUGAAAGCAGCACGUGCUGCCAGAGCUGGGCUAUCAUUGCUGUCCUCCAGCAGUGCACAGCCUCCUGGGGGACUGCCUGCCUUCCUUCCGUGUCAUUUUAUUGCUCGGGCAGAGUUGCAGCUCACAGACACCUGGUUCAACACAUGAAUUGAAGGUCUAACCUUAUUAAUUUGCAGAUAAUAGGAUCUGCUGUGCCCUAGCUGCUACAGGGUAACCAUGACUCUCCGUGGGCUAAUUCAGGUUAGGAUGGAUGAUGCUGCAGAAGUACUGAGGCUCUUUACCACUCAGUGAAGGUAGAAGGUAGAGAUGACAGAGCAUCGGUGUUUUCUAGGAGACACCCUGCUGAGACAGCGUCCUGGGACUAUAAAAGCAUCUGUGCAGGAUAUUGUCCUUUAAAACUGGUUAUAAGCAUAAACUCGAUUCUGACCUGCCAUUUUGCAGUGCAGCGCUGACUGACUUUUAAUGGCCAACCCAUACCCAUCAGGUGUCUUCAGAGAAAGCCCAGGUUUGGCUCUACCUUGUCCUUAUGUUUGCAAGACAGGACAUACCACUUUGCUGUCCCCCCAGGUGCUAGAAUCAGUAUUUCAGGAAGCACCUUUCAUGGUCAAAGCUGGCUUGUUUUCCUUUUUAAUGCGAACGCAGUACUGGUAACAACACUAGGAGCUGGGGAUAUCUCAGGAAGUCUUCUGACCCCAUAGCCUCACAACUGAUGUGCUCCCCGUAUCACGAGUUGAGUGAUUCUCCAGUCCUUGGAGUGUCUUUAAGGCAUUUGCUUACCAUCACUAGGUUACGCCGACACAGAUUGUGUGGCCUAUGGAUUUGACCAACUGCUUAGAUGUGAAAGGUUUUGUAUUGUAACAAUCCUUGGCCCAAAAGACAUGUUCUGAUCUAUUUAAUCUGUAUAAAUCUUCCUAUUUUAUUUUAGCAGAGCUGCUCUGGAGUCAUAUCAACUUCUGAUGCCAGUUUUGCUGUGGCUCUUACUGUUUUCACAAUGUUCCUGUGUAUCCACACUGGGUUUGGAUCUGAGGUUAUGAGGUACAAGUCAUCCCUGGCAAGAGUCAGAAUGAGCUUCAUAGGCUGGUAAUUGAGAUCAGAUUCUGGCUUUUAGCAUUUCCCCCCUCUGGCUCUGGCUAACCAAUUGUGCUGGGAACUUCAGCUAGAACAAAUCAGCUCAAAAUAAUUCUGAACAGUUUGUUUUUUCAAAUAGUGCAGAGAGAGAGAGAGAGAUCCCAGUGAAUAAUUAUGGAUCUUUUCCCUACUAAAAUUACCACUUUCCCUCCUCCAGAUUUCACUGGUGUCCCACAUGAGUGCCCAGAACAUUACCUACUGCAGUGGACAGUAACGACUCAGCCAGGCAACAUUAUCCCUUCCUGAGGACUGGAUCCAAACGGGAGUUAUUUGCAGGCAUUUGCUCUUGAUGUUUCUGAGGCAGACCUCCCCUCCUGCCUCCCAUCCCUGAGAGCUGCCUGGCCGGUUCCAGCACCUCCCCAACCCACCACGACACCUCUGCAGCAACAGAGUGAAGGGGGGUGAAAUCCCUUCUUUACCAAGACAGGCACCUGGCAGUUGAACCAUGAGGAAACUUUUCUCUAGCUGGGCAGACCACAAGAUGGCAAGGCUGUACCGAACAUGCCCGGGACAAGUGCUGCGGAUGCAACAGGUACACCAAGGUCUGAAGGAACAAGUUGAGGAUCUACAAAAUCAGGGAUUGCUCCUGAGAGCAAAGGAACGACUUUCAGGCUGUGGUGCUGAUGACUUCUGUGAGGUUUGGUUUGCAUCAACUGGAUCUUACAGUGUUCAAGACAAGGAGACAAAGGUGGUGGUCUGGUGAGCUGUCCUGCUGGGAAUACUGGGACUCCGUGUGGUGACUGACUGCUCAAUGUGAUGUGACAGCAGCAGAGGUGUGGCUAGACCAGGCUUGCCUGAUGCGGAGGUCCGAGUGCUUUCCAGUGUCACUGGACAAAAAGAGGUUCUUUACUGCGUUUGAUGACAGACAAAAAGGGUAAAGAUUGAGACCAAGACUUCGUUAUUCUAACCUCUGCCUCUCUGAGGCAGGAGCUCUGCUCCUGUCCCUGAAACCAGGCAGUGCCACCAGCACGCUGACUUCUGUAGUAGCAAUAUAAUUUGAAUCUGAAGUGAGUGUAAAGAAGUGCUCCACAAUUAAAGGAGGAAGCCGUUUGUUCUAACCCAUGGGUAGCUCCACAACAACCCUUUGCCUGACACCACAAAACCUCAGCAAAUCUAAAAUUACUGGAGAGCUGCUAUGUAAAGUGCUCCAGAGGAGAGAUGGCACAAGUGACCUUGUUGGUCCAAGCUAUAAAAUAGGUAUACAAAUGGGGUUAGACAGCAAGUGGCUGCAGUGGGGAUACUAAAUCUUCCUCUCUUUGCUCAAUUUAAUGGGUGUUUUCAAAUGCUUCAGAGUUCAGGUUUUCUUCAAAUAAGUGUCCCAUGUAUUUGAACCCCGUGAGACUGAAAACCUUGGCUACGAGUCUCAUGUGACUUUCUUAUGAGAUUUCCAGCUUUUCUGCUUCUGGUCUUGGCUUGAAAUACCAUGAGAAUAUUUUUUUGUGGUAUUUCAACACUCCUGGUUUCAAAUCCUAGUCUUUAUUGAAAAACCUGAAGAAAAGUUUGAAGGGUGGGGUGGGUUUCUUGUUUAAAAUAAAAAUAGGAUAAUGUCACAGGCUUGCUGUCUGUGAAUACCUGUUUUUGGAAAUAAAUAAAGCUUUGAGUCUAGGGAUUGGAUUUGAAGUCUUCUCUAAUUUUAACCUGUUUGGGACAUUCUGUAGCUUUCUUACCCAGCAUUCAUACGAGAGAACAAACAUAUUUGCUUAAGUCAAUCAGCUGAGCUAGAUAGUUCAUUCGUCCAAGCAGAAGUGCUGGAAGGUGCCAUUUACUGGCACACCAAACACAGCAAAACCUUAAUGGGCUGAAAAACACUGUGCUUCCAAACUCAAGUCUCUUCUCCAUGUCUGCAGGACCACUGCAGGCUGGGCUGGGGGAUAUUAGCUUCAUGUUCCCUGUGUGCUCAUUAAUUUGAAGGCUUGGGGAAGAAAGUCCUCUGCCUGAUGUGACUUAUUAGCACCUGAAAACACCUAUGAGAUGUGUAUCUGAGGCAGCGAGUGGUACAAGGAAAAUGGACAGGCAGAUAUGGGACCUUCGUAGGUUUUCUAUUGUGUAAUAGUAUCACACAAUUUUAAUGCAUUGAGAACAGGGCCAAAUGAAGGGGAAAACUCACUAGCUUGCCCUGCGUCUGUGAGCUGGUUACUUAAAACACAGGCUAAGGUCCAUCUACGCUAUUCUUUCACCUUGAGCUCAACGUUUAUUUAUGACGGGGGUGCAUUGUUAGCAUCCUGGCCAUGUAAAACAGGCUCUGUAUUGAUAAGAAGUGCAUUUAGGCUCUGAGGUGGCUUCCUGCUUCCAGGAUUGUGCAAAGCAACAGUAUUACAAGACUCUAAGAGUUGGAUUUUACUUUUUGCAAAUUUUCUGGUAGUGUUCUAGCUGCAAACGUGAUUGCAGGAGGAAAGAAACCUCAUUUGUGCAUAAAUAAAACACGCAGAAGUCUGAAAUUCUGUUGAUGCUGGAGACUUACUAUUGAGUGAGAGAUGAAUAAACAAUGAUUCCUCAUCAAUAUGACUGAGGUGUCCUUCCAAGGUCCUAUCCUGUAAAAGUUAUCUGAAGCCCCUUUCCUUUCCAAGCUAGUAGAUAUGCAGCACGGUGCAGGAUCCGAGACAUGAGUAAAAGCUUGUGUCUUGUUUCAAGGAAACUGCAUUCUUACUUGGCAGGCUCAGGAGGAGUUAUGUCAAGAGCUGCUUAUUUCUAAUAUUGUACAGAGAAUUCCUCCCCCUAUUUCUUCCAGAUGCUGAGCGGCUUAUUUAUUUAUUUAUUUGGAUUAGUUGUAUUAAAAUAUAACAUCCUUCCAAAUGCUUUUCUCCCAGAUUCCCAAAGGAAGGCCCUUUCUCAUGAGGAUGUACAUGCUUAAGUCAUUUAAUGAGCUUAACUCCCACUGCUCUGAACAGGGAUCAAGUUCCUGACUUCAGGGUACCAGGGUCUCUUGGAAGGCUUAGGGCAGUUUGCACUGGAGGAGUCAGAAGAGGAAUGUGGCGUGACACUGGGCAAGGAGACAGCAAAGCAUCAGCUCUUAUCCAGCGAUGGUGGCACUGCGGUACCCUGGGAUCUGACUAGCGCAAGCACCUGGGCAAGGAGUUUUUGAGUUUUUAAGCAGUCCCCUUCUGGACUUGGAUCAAGGAGAACAAAUGGAUUAGUGGAAGUGACCUCCUCAAACGUUAUUUGAUGAUGCCUUGCCUAGUUUUGAAUUUUAUCAGACCCACAUCAAAGCACAGACACCCUCCAAAGAAACUUAGGACGCAUGCAAAUUUUCAUUUGGAUUUGGUUGGGGAUUUCAGGGGGUUGUACAAAAAAGAAAAGUUCUGGCUUGUCUCUGAAGCUAGGUGGGGUGCAGCCACUUGGACUCAGUUUCUCUUGGCAGUGGAAUUUAUCGAAAUCCACAGCACCACGGGAAACUUCGAGCAACCCCAAGCAGGGCAAGAGCCGAGAGAGUUUUGCUGUGCCCUGUGAUUUGAAGUUGCUGCCUUUCCAGACAGGUGGAGGCCCAGCAGCCUUGUGGCCACUGCAGAACACCAGAUCCCCACCUGGCACAGCUCAGGGAUGAGGACCACAGCGGCUGGCCAGCUGAAGGUGUAAUCCAAAGAGCUGCCUGGCCUCUUCAGCAAGGGGUGUAGGACCUCGCCAAACCGGGACCUGGAGAUGAACAAAAGAGGCAAGACACGGUAGGAACGCAUUCUUGUCCACAGUCCCUUAACAAAAAGUAAGCAGAGAUCUGUAAACACUGUCCCAAGACCUGAGCCUCCCGACCUCAGUUCUCCUGGCUGUUAAAUCAAUGUUUAUCUUUUUAUUAUUAAAAAGUCACAGAGGUGGCUCUAGACUCGGAGCUGUCUGAAAGCAUUCAUGCUGAAAUGAGUAUGGGAGCUUUGUAGUUUGCUCUUUCUCCAUCCUUGCGCCUAAAUCAGAGCAGUUGGCCUUUAAAACAAGGGAAUAGAGUGAAAAAUAAGGCCUUUAAAUAUCAGGCAAAUCACUUGCAGGGGCCAGUCUUAUGGAAGAGCAUAAGGUGCUCACCAUCCACUGAAGCCGUUCACUGUCUUUUAGGGCCUUUGGUCAGGCUCCCAGCACUAAGACACCACUCCUCAAAAGACUUGGCACUGUUUUACGGUACUCUAUUCAUUUCACCCAACCCCCUUCAGCUGUUAUAGCCUCUACUUCUACUUCCCAGUGAAGAGAGCAACUUCCCAUAGAAAGAGCAACCUCCCAUCAGCAGAACCACAAGUUUGCCAGCCUACGCUAGUAGGCACGUUCAGUCCUUUAGACAUCCUCCCCGUUUUCACUGAGGGAGAUGGUAUGGAUUUUAAUGGUUGGCACUUUACAGUUUUCGUGGACCACAUUCCCUGAAGUGCCUGCACAGCAGCAUUCCUGGAGGAAACCUUUGCUUUUCACUUUGGCAGCAGUGCAGCUAGACUUGUCCUUAGCAACUGCGUUUUUUGUAGGCAUGCUUUGCACGGCAGAGAAUAUCUUCCAUUCGCAGACCCCAUCAGACUUGGAGAUCUUAUAGAAGGUUUCGCCCGAGCCGACGGGGAUACGGACCACACCUUUGCUGCUUUCCAUGCUUUGGCUAGCAGGAUGGUUGAGGUUGAAACUUGGGGAUUGCUUCUUUGCUGCAUGCUUCCUUGGGAGGCACUGCGCUCUCAGGACGUUUUGGAACGCUUUCUUAAACUCUUGACUUGAGCACGGAUAGAUUAUGGGGUUGAUGCAGCUGUUUAAAUAUCCAAGCCAAAAUGUUAUUUUAAAAAGCGUGUCCGGGGGUUUGAUUGCAGGAAAGAAAGAACCUAAAAUGGAAAAUAUACAGAGUGUUAAGGCAGAGGCAGUGAGAAAUUGCAGGUAACCAAAGAAACUUAAACACUGGAAAAAAAAUAAAUAAGAUUCUGUUCUGUCUUGCAAAAUUUAUGACUCAAAGCCUAAUUCCUGCAGGAACGAGUCUUUCAGAAUGUAUGAUGUUGUGCAAUUACAUGGACAUUAUAUCAGAGAUCAAGUCAAUAUUCAAGCCAUCUACUUCAUUAAACAAGCAUUGUAUUUACCCAGUUACAGCCAGAGAGGCAAGAGGACUGAUACCAAGUGAUAAAGGGAAGUUGCUUCCUCUAGGACUUUUAAUUCAAGGUUAGUUAGCCAAACAACAACCAUGACAUGGAAUUCAUCAAAAGGGGUUUCAAAGGGCAAGAAAACCACACCAUUUUAGAAUCUGAGAAAGUGGAUUACUGGGUUGACUACAUUACAACUGAAAGCCUUAGAGAAGAUAAAGUACUGGGUGCUCAAUUUCCCUUGAAGCCUUUUGG